CCUACGGGAGGCAGCAGUGAGGAAUAUUGGACAAUGGGCGCAAGCCUGAUCCAGCCAUGCCGCGUGCAGGAAGAAGCAUCUAUGGUGUGUAAACUGCUUUUGUACAGGAAGAAACACUCCCUCGUGAGGGAGCUUGACGGUACUGUAAGAAUAAGGACCGGCUAACUCCGUGCCAGCAGCCGCGGUAAUACGGAGGGUCCGAGCGUUAUCCGGAAUCAUUGGGUUUAAAGGGUCCGUAGGCGGUUUAAUAAGUCAGUGGUGAAAUCUGGUCGCUCAACGAUCAAACGGCCAUUGAUACUGUUAGACUUGAAUUAUAAGGAAGUAACUAGAAUAUGUAGUGUAGCGGUGAAAUGCUUAGAUAUUACAUGGAAUACCAAUUGCGAAGGCAGGUUACUACUUAUGGAUUGACGCUGAUGGACGAAAGCGUGGGGAGCGAACAGGAUUAGAUACCCUGGUAGUCCACGCCGUAAACGAUGGAUACUAGCUGUUCGGAGCAAUCUGAGUGGCUAAGCGAAAGUGAUAAGUAUCCCACCUGGGGAGUACGUUCGCAAGAAUGAAACUCAAAUGAAUUGACGG
rnacentral:rRNA from 1 species